rnacentral:rRNA from 1 species
UCUCAAGCGUGAGGUAAGGGCAAUUCGUGGAUGCCUUGGCAUGUACAGGCGAUGAAGGACGUGGCACGCUGCGAUAAGCGUCGGGGAGCUGUGAGCAGGCUUUGAUCCGACGAUUUCCGAAUGGGGAAACCCACCUAUCCCGAUUAUUUCGACCGUCAGCGAUGACGGGCGGAGUAAUGGGGAAAAGGUAUCACUUAGCUGAAUAAAAUAGGCUUCGUGAAGCGAACCCGGUGAACUGAAACAUCUCAGUAGCCGGAGGAAAAGACAUCAACCGAGAUUCCGUUAGUAGUGGCGAGCGAACGCGGACCAGGCCAGUGCCUUCAAUUCAAGUAGCAGAACACUCUGGAAAGUGUGGCCGUAGCGGGUGACAGCCCCGUAUGCGAAACUGAUGUUGAAGGACUUGAGUAGGGCGGGACACGUGUAAUCCUGUCUGAACAUAGGGGGACCACCCUCUAAGCCUAAAUACUCGUAC